rnacentral:lncRNA from 1 species
CACACAAAUCUACAUAUAUAACACACAUAAACCAUAACAAAGGAGUCCAACAAAUCCAUCAUACAACAAAUCGUAUUAAUCAAGCAUUCAACAUGAAACAUCCAAUAUGGUGUACAAAACCAACAUGCAUCAUCAAUCAGGAACUGCACCAUGCAUAAUGCAUCAUCUAUCAGCACGACGUACUUUGUCUCAUAUCAAGAAAACUAAACCCAAACGUGCGUGCGUUCCUUUGCACAAAACUAUGCUCAUCUCUAUCUAACAAACAGAUAAAGAAACAUCAAGUGAUCCAUCGUAUCAUCAGAAAGAUCAUAUCAUCCUCUCCUGGCAUGCUUUCACGCAGCAAUUCAAGAUACACUCGAUUAAUCCUCUACCCUGACGGCUGCCCGGAGACGACUUGAUCUUCCUUAAUUCGCACCACCAUUGUCAGACCCGUCCCGGCUGCCAAACCUUCAAUCACCACAGCAGAUGGAUACCAGACCACAUGUUAGUAGUUAACAACAAUAGGACUUCAGCCCAUUUAUUUGAUUUUUGACAAGAUAAGAUCGAUCGAGCACAAAUGGGUGAAUUUCUUAAAUUCUAAGGCCAAGACUAAUAAGACACUAUAUGUUUCUAAUUGAAUCAUUCAUGCAACUAUACUAAUUGCCUACAACAUUGUUAUCCUUGAUUCUUACUUUCAAGUUCCCCAAUUUGCUGCAGAGACUUAGCCUAAGACUUGCAGGGAAAUAUUAAAAUAGCAUCUUAAAGUUAAUGUGACCAUAUUUAAAGAUAUUUCAAAGAGAAAUUUACUAUAAAACAAAAAAUACAAAUCAUGAAUGCUUCAAGGCAAUUAUCUCAAAAUUCUUUAAGCUAAGUGACACAUCUUAAUAUUUUCCAUGCUAAUGCUACAGUGAUAUUUGGCAGUACAAAUCAAGCAAAAUAAAAAAUGAUACAAAGUUCAAUUAAUAUGUUCACACAACAGUCAAAGAGUUGGAACCACAAUUGAGCAAACCCUCCAUCGCAAUUUCCUGACCAAGCAUAGUAAAGAGUCAAAAGAAUGUUCGUGACACAAUAAAGUUAUUAUUGUACCAAUCAAAGCUUAAAGAGUAAUUUUUCCAAGUUACAACACAAAUUAAUUGGGCUAACACAAAUUAAAGAGUCAAAUAAAACAGCAGGCUAACUUAAAUUGAAGAAAUACAGACCAAUUGGGCUGGAAUCAUCCUUGAAGUUUGACAACUGCACAACCCGCACUCUCUGUGUAAAUUUAAGGAACUCUUUGCAGAAUGCAGGAUCACCAGCACAUUCAGAGUCCUAUUGCUACUUUCAAACCAUCAUAUAUCAGUUAGUUCCAAUUUUUAGCUACAGGACAGUGAGUUGAGAUAAAAUGUAAGCAACCGACCCAAGAAUCUAAAGCAAAUCAACCUAAAAUCAAAUUAACAGAGUACCUCGAAUUAUAUUAUCUGUUAAAAUUUUAAACGUAAGCACUAAUAUAUGAUGUUGAAGGUGUCAAACUUCCAGACACAGCGCACCACCAGAAAAAUACCAGUACGCUUAACGGAAAUCACAGAAACGCAUAAAUAGAGGACCUAAGGUGAAAACCCCAGCAUAUACUUGGGCCAAUGCUUACUACAGAACACUACAAGUCAACAUCCGCGCUUAAGGACCGGAGCAAAUCUUAACAAGACGCUCCUCAACUAGAGAUCUAUAAGUCAACAAGCAGUUCAAGACAUAUAUGCAGCUCGAGGUCGGACCGCUCGAGCGCCCCGAAGCCGCGAGCGCCGCAUCAGGAGUCAGGGUGGGGCCGCGCCACCACAGAGGACCCGCGAGGCCGAGCCUCGCGUGCGCCCGCAAGGCCGCCCCGCCGCAGAGGUUCGCCGAGCCGCGCACAGGCCUGCGGGCCGCCGCCUGGGCGAGCGCUCCCCGUCCCCGCACGCCGACCGGACGCGCGAGCCGCGCGCAGGCUGUGGGCCGCCACCGCUUGCCGCAGUUGCCGGCCGGUCGGCUUACGCAUGCGCGCCCCACCCGAGGCCGCUGCUGUGACGCGCAGGUCUCCUGGCCGGCAGCUGCGUGGUGCUCCUCCGUUCUCUCUCUCCUGUAUGUUUUGACGGCUGAUGAAGGGGAGAGGAAAGGGAUAGAGUGAGUAAAA